rnacentral:rRNA from 1 species
AUGAACGCUGGCGGCGUGCCUCAUACAUGCAAGUCGAGCGAACAGACGAGGAGCUUGCUCCUCUGACGUUAGCGGCGGACGGGUGAGUAACACGUGGAUAACCUACCUAUAAGACUGGGACAACUUCGGGAAACCGGAGCUAAUACCGGAUAAUAUAUUGAACCGCAUGGUUCAAUAGUGAAAGACGGUUUUGCUGUCACUUAUAGAUGGAUCCGCGCCGCAUUAGCUAGUUGGUAAGGUAACGGCUUACCAAGGCGACGAUGCGUAGCCGACCUGAGAGGGUGAUCGGCCACACUGGAACUGAGACACGGUCCAGACUCCUACGGGAGGCAGCAGUAGGGAAUCUUCCGCAAUGGGCGAAAGCCUGACGGAGCAACGCCGCGUGAGUGAUGAAGGUCUUCGGAUCGUAAAACUCUGUUAUUAGGGAAGAACAAAUGUGUAAGUAACUAUGCACGUCUUGACGGUACCUAAUCAGAAAGCCACGGCUAACUACGUG